rnacentral:rRNA from 1 species
GAUGGACGCUAGCGGCAGGCCUAAUACAUGCAAGUCGAACGAUAUUAAGGGGCUUGCUCCUUAAGAAAGUGGCGCACGGGUGCGUAACGCGUAUGCAACCUACCUUAAUCAGGGGGAUAGCCCGAAGAAAUUCGGAUUAACACCGCAUAAAAACACAGGAUAGCAUUAUCCAAUGUUCAAAUAUUUAUAGUAUUAAGAUGGGCAUGCGUGUCAUUAGCUAGUUGGCGGGGUAACGGCCCACCAAGGCGACGAUGACUAGGGGAUCUGAGAGGUUGACCCCCCACACUGGUACUGAGACACGGACCAGACUCCUACGGGAGGCAGCAGUAAGGAAUAUUGGUCAAUGGAGGCAACUCUGAACCAGCCAUGCCGCGUGCAGGAAGACUGCCCUAUGGGUUGUAAACUGCUUUUAUCCGGGAAUAAACCUUUCUACGUGUAGGAAGCUGAAUGUACCGGAAGAAUAAGGAUCGGCUAACUCCGUGCCAGCAGCCGCCGUAAGAC